rnacentral:rRNA from 1 species
AUUGAACGCUGGCGGCAUGCUUUACACAUGCAAGUCGAACGGCAGCGGACCUUCGGGUGCCGGCGAGUGGCGAACGGGUGAGUAAUAUAUCGGAACGUACCUUUCAGUGGGGGAGUAACGUAGCGAAAGUUACGCUAAUACCGCAUAUUCUGUGAGCAGGAAAGCAGGGGAUCGCAAGACCUUGCGCUGAUUGAGCGGCCGAUAUCAGAUUAGCUAGUUGGUGAGGUAAAGGACUCACCAAGGCGACGAUCUGUAGCGGGUCGUGAGAGGAUGAUCCGCCACACUGGAACUGAGACACGGUCCAGACUCCUACGGGAGGCAGCAGU